CAAGACUUGAAAUCGAUGGAAUCCUUAAGAAAUUAGGGAGUGCCCUUCGGGGAACCAGAAGACAGGUGGUGCACGGCUGUCGUCAGCUCGUGUCGUGAGAUGUUGGGUUAAGUCCCGCAACGAGCGCAACCCUCGUUAUUAGUUGCAUACGUCGGUAUACUGGCGUAGUGCUCUCUAAUAAGACUGCCGGUGAUAAACCGGAGGAAGGUGGGGACGACGUCAAGUCAUCAUGCCCCUUAUGUCUUGGGCUACACACGUGUUACAAUGGUCGGUACAACGAGCAGCCAACUCGCGAGAGUGAGCAAAUCUCUUAAAACCGAUCUCAGUUCGGAUUGCACUCUGCAACUCGAGUGCAUGAAGUCGGAAUCGCUAGUAAACGCAGAUCAGCACGCUGCGUUGAAUACGUUCCC
rnacentral:rRNA from 1 species